UAGCUCAGUGGAUAAAGAAUCUGCCUGCAAUGCAGGAGACCCAGGUUCAAUCCCUGG
rnacentral:tRNA from 1 species